AACGAACGCUGGCGGCAUGCCUAACACAUGCAAGUCGAACGAGACCUUCGGGUCUAGUGGCGCACGGGUGCGUAACGCGUGGGAAUCUACCCUCAGGUUCGGAAUAACUCAGAGAAAUUUGAGCUAAUACCGGAUGAUGACGUAAGUCCAAAGAUUUAUCGCCUGAGGAUGAGCCCGCUUAGGAUUAGGUAGUUGGUGAGGUAAAGGCUCACCAAGCCGACGAUCCUUAGCUGGUCUGAGAGGAUGAUCAGCCACACUGGGACUGAGACACGGCCCAGACUCCUACGGGAGGCAGCAGUGGGGAAUAUUGGACAAUGGGCGAAAGCCUGAUCCAGCAAUGCCGCGUGAGUGAUGAAGGCCUUAGGGUUGUAAAGCUCUUUUACCCGGGAUGAUAAGGACAGUACCGGGAGAAUAAGCUCCGGCUAACUCCGUG
rnacentral:rRNA from 1 species